UGUCAGCAGUGUGGCCACAGAGAUUA
rnacentral:piRNA from 1 species